rnacentral:piRNA from 1 species
GCCCAGCUCAUAGCUCCAAGGUUCCUUCCCGA